AUUGAACGCUGGCGGCAUGCCUUACACAUGCAAGUCGAACGGCAGCACGGGUGGUUGCCUCCGGUGGCGAGUGCCGCAUGGGUGAGUAAUACAUCGGGAUACGCCCUGUAGUGGGGGAUAGCCCGUUGAAAGCCGGGUUAAUACCACAUAAGAACUACGGGUGCCAGCGGGGGACAUACGGAACGCGCGCUUUAGGGUCAGUCCGUGGUUGAUUAGCUAGGUGGUGGGGAAAAGGCAUACCAAGGGCACGAUCAGUAGCCGGUCUGAGAGGGAGACCAGCCACACUGGAACUGAGACACGGUCCAGACUCCUACGGGAGGCAGCAGUAGGGAAUUUUCGGCAAUGGGCGAAAGCCUGAUCCAGCAAUGCCGCGUGUGUGAAGAAGGCCUUCGGGUUGUAAAGCUCUUUUAUCCGGAAAGAAAAACUUGGUCCUAAUACGGGCGCGUGAUGACGGUACCGGAUGAGUAAGCACCGGCUAACUACGUG
rnacentral:rRNA from 1 species